rnacentral:rRNA from 1 species
UGGGGAAUUUUGGACAAUGGGCGAAAGCCUGAUCCAGCAAUGCCGCGUGAGUGAAGAAGGCCUUCGGGUUGUAAAGCUCUUUUGUCAGGGAAGAAACGGUGAGGGCUAAUAUCCCUUGCUAAUGACGGUACCUGAAGAAUAAGCACCGGCUAACUACGUGCCAGCAGCCGCGGUAAUACGUAGGGUGCAAGCGUUAAUCGGAAUUACUGGGCGUAAAGCGUGCGCAGGCGGUUUUGUAAGUCUGAUGUGAAAUCCCCGGGCUCAACCUGGGAAUUGCAUUGGAGACUGCAAGGCUAGAAUCUGGCAGAGGGGGGUAGAAUUCCACGUGUAGCAGUGAAAUGCGUAGAUAUGUGGAGGAACACCGAUGGCGAAGGCAGCCCGCUGGGUCAAGAUUGACGCUCAUGCACGAAAGCGUGGGGAGCAAACA